UACGUAGGGUGCGAGCGUUGUCCGGAAUUAUUGGGCGUAAAGAGCUCGUAGGCGGUGUGUCACGUCUGCUGUGAAAUCCCGAGGCUCAACCUCGGGUCUGCAGUGGGUACGGGCAGACUAGAGUGUGGUAGGGGAGAUUGGAAUUCCUGGUGUAGCGGUGGAAUGCGCAGAUAUCAGGAGGAACACCGAUGGCGAAGGCAGAUCUCUGGGCCAUUACUGACUCUGAGGAGCGAAAGCAUGGGGAGCGAACAGG
rnacentral:rRNA from 1 species